rnacentral:rRNA from 1 species
GACGAACGCUGGCGGCGUGCUUAACACAUGCAAGUCGAACGGAAAGGCCCCCACCUUGGUGGGGGUGCUCGAGUGGCGAACGGGUGAGUAACACGUGGGUGAUCUGCCCUGUACUUCGGGAUAAGCUUGGGAAACUGGGUCUAAUACCGGAUAGGACCAUGGUUUAGUGUCUCAUGGUGGAAAAAUUAUUGUUUUGGUGCAGGAUGAGCUCGCGGCCUAUCAGCUUGUUGGUGGGGUAAUGGCCUACCAAGGCGUCGACGGGUAGCCGGCCUGAGAGGGUGGACGGCCACAGUGGGACUGAGGUACGGCCCAGACUCCUACGGGAGGCAGCGGUGGGGAAUAUUGAACAAUGGGCGCAAGCCUGAUGCAGCGACGCCGCGUGAGGGAUGACGGCCUUCGGGUUGUAAACUCCUUUCGUUAGGGACGAAGCCACACCUUUUUUGGGUGUGGUGACGGUACCUUUGUUAAGAAGCACCGGCUAACUACGUG